rnacentral:rRNA from 1 species
AUGGCUCUUCCGCCACAAGCUCAAGUCCGACGGCUCGCUCGAACGCUACAAGGCACGCUGGGUGGUGCGCGGCUUCUCGUAGCGCCCCGGCGUCGACUUCGACGAGACAUUCUCUCCGGUGGUCAAGGCGGCCACCAUCCGCGUCGUGCUCACCAUCGCCGCCACGCGCCAGUGGCCAGUGCACCAGAUGGACGUCAACAACGCGUUCCUCCACGGGCAUCUCUCUGA